UAAGGCAGACGCCGAUAUUGAGAUUCUUCUCAUUUUUAAGUGGCGGAGUUGAAACCAGAUUUUAGUUGCAAGUCAAAUACCUAUAACUCAAACGUCAGCUAAUACCAUCUGCAAAUACUAUACAAUCAAAAUUAAACAUCUUUUGGACUUUCUCGCAACACAGAAGUGAAUUUACCGGCCGGCGCCUGCCUUCGUUUCAAUUCCGUCACUUAGCCACUUAGUUAUUUAGUCACGUAACGUGACUCUAUCACGAUAAUUAUUAUGUACCUGAUUUUUACAACACCCAGGAUUUUCCGGUAGGACUUAACCCACCACAGCAGCCAAAUAGCUUUGUUGUGCCAAGAGGAUUUUCCUGACGACUGUAGGACUUCUGUAGGACUGUAGGAUCUUCCUAAGGACUUUUCAUAAAGGACUAUUUGCCCCUUUUAACAAUCGGCUGUUGUAAAAGCUAAGUUUUUACCUUUUUUAUAUACUUUUGGUUCAUAUAUAUUUUCGUACAGUGGAAACUUAUUGUAUGCAUACGAUAAAGUAGAGUACAUAUUUUCGUGAUAGAUAGAGUUUCAGGUCGUUUUUUUUAUUUUUUCUUUGAUUCAAUAUAAGUGGUAGUUUGUUUAAAUAAAUAAAAUCAGACUUUCUAUAUAAUAAUUAUAAAUUAUUGUAGCUUAAAAUUUGAUAGGGAAUCGGGAGAAAAAUUUUGUCGCGGAUUUUAAAUACGGAAUACGUCUAGUAGGUUUAUUUUUGUAUAGUACGUAAAGAGUCACUGACCAGCUCAUUUAUAUAGACCUUUUUGCUAUUCCAACGGACUUUUGCUUUGGAUUUUCUUUAAUACCUUUACUUAGCGCAGUGUGUAGUGGUUCAUUGCAUGUUAGUGGCUUUUUGGUCUUGUUUGACCUUUACCUCACCCACUACCACUGUUAUUGUGUUUAGAGAGUUAUAUGUAAGUUGUUAAUAUAUAUAACACAUUUAUUAUUAAUAUAUUUGUAAGCAUUCA